rnacentral:lncRNA from 1 species
GAAUAGAUCACAAAUGAUAAUUUUACCCUUAAAUAUAAAUAUUUUACUUACAUUAUUAAUACAAUAUAAAAUUUUAAAUAAAUUAAAUAAUUAUUGACAUAAUUUAGCUAUAGAAUAUUUAGUUAACAUCUACACUUAAUGAGCUUGAUUAAUUUUUUUUUAUUUUACUCUAUUUUCACUUUUUUUCUCUCUCUCUCAAUGCUCUCUCUCUAAAAGAAAAUAUGAACAUUUAUCAUCUACUUCAGAAUCCAACCGGUAGCCAUCGUACGACACCAUACUGGCCGUCGUAUGCCGCUGCUAGCUGGUGUCCUUUCCUUCUCAAAUGUUUAGAUUUGAUUAAUUUCUACCUUCUUUUUUUUCAAUUCUUUCAUCGGGUUUCUCUAAAUCAAAACUUUCCAGGCUGAUUUCGUCAUCUUCCGUCGCUCCAACAACCACCUUUUUCCUAAUAUGUUUUUCUCUAUUCUUCGUUCUCCCCUCUCCAAGUUACAAGCCACAAAACCCCAUUUUCUAUUUCAUCUUAAAAUCUCUUUUUCUCUAUCUGUUCUUAUUUUGUUACGAUAGAUGAUAUAAUACUUUUCAAAAGAACAAAAAAAAGUUUUGAGAUAUUUUUUUUUACCCAAAAAAGAUGUUUUUCUCUAUUCGGUAUAAUAAUGAAUGACUUUUACAGGAGAAGUUGUGAUAAGAGAUGAAUAGUGAUUUCACGAAACGAGUGAUUCGAUGAACCAAACAUUGAAUCAGCUUGAAAUGGUUCCACUAUUCAUGCCAACCAAACAUGCUCUAAGAACAUUAGAUAAGAGAACCAAGUUGCAAGGUUGAAGAAAUAUUUCAAAAAAAUGCACAAAUUCAUAUUAGAUUCUUAUCUGAAAAAAGAUGGUCAAAUUUUAUCAUUAGUUUGGUGUAGAUUUAAUUUAUGUACUCUAUUUUGGUCAACUUCAGUUUUGAUAUUUUUUUUUACAAUUUGAAAAUUUAAUAAUAGCUAAAUAAUAGCUAUUAAAUUUAUCAAGUUAAAUUAUACUAUGUUUAAAAUUUUAUGUGGUCAACAUAUUAUCUUAUGUUUAAUUCAUGUUAAGUUGCUAAUUUUACAUAAUACUUACAAAAAAGUCACGACUAAAAAUGAUCAAUUUGGACAAAAGUGACUAAACUCACAACUUGUUCAUAGUACUAGAUUAAUAAUAAAAUUUAACAUAAUGAAAUUAGUACUAGAUUAAUAAUAGAAUUUAACCUAAUAAAAUUAACUGUUAGUGUUUAAAUUAAAAUUAACCAAAUUAAUGUAUAUAUGCAAAAUCUGCAACUUAAGCAUAAUUCAAAUACUAACAACAAUGCUUCAAAGAAAAAAAAAUACUGUUAUGAAUCAUCAUCUUAGCUUAGACGUGAAAAAGAUGGCAUUCAUAGAGUUUGAAACUUAAAAGUUUCAAACAUCUAAAAAAAUACCUGCAACACCUUCUUUUAUCCCUAUGAAAAUAUGGGGAAGAUGAGAUUGGAGACAAGUUGAUGACUUUUGCUGGGUUAUGAAUCUAGCUCUCCCUUACUCUCUUGAAGACAUAUUUUCACAAGGAAAAUAUGAAAAAUGGAGCAAGAGAGAAACUAGAUUCAGAAGCCAAUCAAAGUUCAUAUUUCAGAGAUUGAGAAAAAAUAUAAAAGAAGAAAGGAAAAGGGAAACUAAGAGGCUAUUAUUUGGCAAUGCUCAUAUAUUUCUCUUCUAGGCUUUAGGAAGGGGAAUAUGCGAGAGGCAAGCAGCUAU